rnacentral:rRNA from 1 species
UACGUAGGGGGCGAGCGUUGUCCGGAAUCAUUGGGCGUAAAGAGCGUGUAGGCGGUUCGGUAAGUCUGCCGUGAAAACCUGGGGCUCAACCCUGGGCGUGCGGUGGAAACUGUCGAGCUAGAGGAUGGUAGAGGGGAGUGGAAUUCCCGGUGUAGUGGUGAAAUGCGUAGAUAUCGGGAGGAACACCAGUGGCGAAGGCGACUACCUGGCCUGUUCUUGACGCUGAGGCGCGAAAGCUAGGGGAGCAAACGGG